rnacentral:rRNA from 1 species
GAUGAACGCUGGCGGCGUGCCUAAUACAUGCAAGUCGAGCGAACAGACGAGGAGCUUGCUCCUUUGACGUUAGCGGCGGACGGGUGAGUAACACGUGGAUAACCUACCUAUAAGACUGGGAUAACUUCGGGAAACCGGAGCUAAUACCGGAUAACAUGUUGAACCGCAUGGUUCAACAGUGAAAGACGGUUUUGCUGUCACUUAUAGAUGGAUCCGCGCCGCAUUAGCUAGUUGGUAAGGUAACGGCUUACCAAGGCAACGAUGCGUAGCCGACCUGAGAGGGGGAUCGCCACCCCUGAACCUGAGACCCGUUCCAGACUCCAACGGGAGGCAGCGGAAGGGAAUCUUCCGCAAUGGGCGAAGGCCUACCGGAGCAACGCCGCGUGAGUGAAGAAGGUCUUCGGUUCGUAAACCUCUGUUAUAGGGAAGAACAAAUGUGUAAGUAACUAUGCACGUCUUGACGGUACCUAAUCAGAAAGCCACGGCUAACUACGUG